UCACCUGUUCAGACUUCUUUACUCCGUAUCUGAAAAGCGUCGCCUGAUGCUCGCUGUUGUGAAACAGGAUGUCAAAGGUCACCUCGCGGCCCAUCAUGUCCUCGAUGGCGGGCUUCACCACACCGUGGAAGUCCCGCGGAGGAAGCUCCAGAGGGUCCAGUUUGACCUCUGACCUCAGACCUCGGCCGUACAGCAGCAGUUUGGUGUCUGAAUCUGACAGACAAAGACAAGAAAUCAACUUAUUUUAAGAGGCAGAUUUCCAGAGGAAGGAUCAAGAAAAAUAAAGUUUAUCUGUCAUUUUA